GCCUUCGUGGUGCAGUGGUCAGUACGCUGGACGCGUAACGGAGGUCCGUGGUUCGAUUCCUGGCGAAGACG
rnacentral:tRNA from 1 species